AAGAGAGGAUGGUUAGUGAGUAUAAAGAGGGGAUGGUUAGUGGGUACAGAAAUACUGUUAGAAGGAAUAGGAUCUAGUGUUCAUUAGCACAGUAGGGUGACUACAGUUAACAGUAAUUUAUGUCUAUUUCAAAAUAACUAAAAGAGGAGAAUUGGAAUGUUCCUAACACUGAGAAAUGGUAAGUGCUUGGGGUGAUGCAUUUUGCCCUUUGAUCACUAUAAAAUGUAUGUUUGUAUCAAAAUAUCACAUGUAAAAAUAUAUAAAUAAAUAAAGAUAAGUCUAGGCCCCAAAAUUAAUAUCCCAUCUCUUCCCUGACCAAAGGCAUAAAGCAUUACCCCUGGCACAAAGGAUCUUCAUUAUAGCUCUCAGAUACUGAGACAUUUAGACAGGCCUGAGUCCCAGACUAUAAAUGGUAGGGGUGUAGAGACUAGGAACUCUCUGUGGUUCAGUAAAGCAACCCAUCACUGCAGGCUGGGACUGGAAGGGGCUAUUUCCAGGAAGCAUUGGCUUUUGUACUGAGCUGGACCGAACAAACAUUGAGAAAAGAUAGAAGAAAGAUGAGUCAGGCUGAAUGUGACUGAUUUAAUUUAUUCCUUUCACUUGAACCGUGUGGUGCCUCAGUUUCAUGUGUCUGCAGAGGACGCUCACCCUUGGCACCAACUGGAAAGUGUAACAGCAGGGCAUUCGGGUUCUGGCCAAGGAGCCAUCAGCAAUCCCAUUACCAGUGCUUAAAGUGAGUCUCAUAAGGCAGCUCUGGCUCCAAGCAAAAACCACAGCUCGAUUUUCAUAAACUAAUUUCACUUGUUUGCCCCAGUUAAUAUUAAUAAGCCCAGGGCUAUAUGCUUCUACUUACCAGAGCACAAAGAUAAUAGAAUAAUAGAAUGUUAGAUCUGAAAUGGACCUUGGAGAUCUUCUAGACCAACGUCUCCAUUUGAUAGAUGAGGAAACAGGUAUGAGGAAGUAAAGGGCCAGGCUGCAGGUAGUGAGAUUCACAGACUGGACUGGAACCCAAGUUCUCUGACCCAGAGCCCUCUUCAGGGUCUGUCAGAUCUUUCAAACAUCUGCCUCUUUCUACCUCAUCCCCGUGGACUGGAGUGCGGUGGAAAGAACUUUGGACCAGGCAAUGGGAGAACCAGGAUCUAAACAUAUCUUCAUUAAUUUUACUUGAAUUUCUCUGGCCUCUUAUUUCCUCUUCACAGCAUCAACUUUCUUGUAAAAGUGGAGGCCUACUACUGUUCCCCAAAGUAAGAGACAAGGUAAAACAGCAUCUCCACAAUACUGGCAAGCCAAAUGUGAAACAGAUCCCAGUGGUGGUGUUGCUUGGUGUUCUGUGACUUUGAAACCUAAAGCUUCCCUAGACUGUUAAAAUUACUAAAUGAGUACAUAAAGCACAUAGCACAAAGGCCUGGCUCUGAGAUGCUUACGCUCUUCCUGGGGCUCUUAUCUUCUUCCUUCCUGAUAGAACAUGUGUACGUUCAUAUGUAUCUGUAAGGGACAUGAAUUGUCCAGAAUUCCUUGUAGUCAGAAUGUCUAGUGAUAUAAUGUUCCUACGUUACUUACCAGUUUCCACUCAGUAAGUCAGCUUGAAGAACUCAUUUCCAUUUCUCUUCAACUAGUCCAACAUCCGUUUUCACCUACAUGGAUACUUCUAUUGGCAUGGGGACAAAUAAAUCACAUUUGGAAUGGUCCCAGGACAAUUUAGCUUUAGAGGAAAAAAAAAAAAAAAAAGGAUGGUAACAUGAAGGACAUUUGCUGUGUUGGGCUGUCACUAGGUCCCCAUCGGAACUGUGAAAAAUUAUGG